AACGAACGCUGGCGGCAUGCCUAACACAUGCAAGUCGAACGAGACCUUCGGGUUUAGUGGCGCACGGGUGCGUAACGCGUGGGAACCUGCCCUUAGGUUCGGAACAACUCCCUGAAAGGGGUGCUAAUACCGGAUAAUGUCUUCGGAUCAAAGAUUUAUCGCCUUUGGAUGGGCCCGCGUUGGAUUAGCUAGUUGGUAGGGUAAAAGCCUACCAAGGCGACGAUCCAUAGCUGGUCUGAGAGGAUGAUCAGCCACACUGGGACUGAGACACGGCCCAGACUCCUACUGGAGGCAGCAGUGGGGAAUAUUGGACAAUGGGCGAAAGCCUGAUCCAGCAAUGCCGCGUGAGUGAUGAAGGCCUUAGGGUUGUAAAGCUCUUUUACCCGGGAUGAUAAUGACAGUACCGGGAGAAUAAGCUCCGGCUAACUCCGUG
rnacentral:rRNA from 1 species